rnacentral:tRNA from 1 species
GGGCCUCUCGUUCAACGGGAGGACGGCACGCUUGCACCGUGCAGAUCGGGGUUCGAUUCCCUGGAGGUCCACCA